AGUGGCGAACGGGUGAGUAAUGCAUCGGAACGUACCGUGUAGUGGGGGAUAACGUAGCGAAAGUUACGCUAAUACCGCAUACGAUCUAUGGAUGAAAGCGGGGGAUCGCAAGACCUCGCGCGAUUGGAGCGGCCGAUAUCAGAUUAGGUAGUUGGUGGGGUAAAGGCUCACCAAGCCGACGAUCUGUAGCUGGUCUGAGAGGACGACCAGCCACACUGGGACUGAGACACGGCCCAGACUCCUACGGGAGGCAGCAGUGGGGAAUUUUGGACAAUGGGCGCAAGCCUGAUCCAGCCAUGCCGCGUGCAGGAUGAAGGCCUUCGGGUUGUAAACUGCUUUUGUACGGAACGAAAAGGUUUGGCCUAAUAAGCUGAGCUCAUGACGGUACCGUAAGAAUAAGCACCGGCUAACUACGUGCCAGCAGCCGCGGUAAUACGUAGGGUGCGAGCGUUAAUCGGAAUUACUGGGCGUAAAGCGUGCGCAGGCGGUUAUGUAAGACAGAUGUGAAAUCCCCGGGCUCAACCUGGGAACUGCAUUAGUGACUGCAUAGCUGGAGUACGGCAGAGGGGGAUGGAAUUCCGCGUGUAGCAGUGAAAUGCGUAGAUAUGCGGAGGAACACCGAUGGCGAAGGCAAUCCCCUGGGCCUGUACUGACGCUCAUGCACGAAAGCGUGG
rnacentral:rRNA from 1 species